UGCUUUGUAAACAAAAACACGCAAAAUCGGCAGCACAACAGUGACUUCAAAAGAAAUUGACGGGACUGUGGAGGCUUACUAGGAAAUUUUUAGAAGAAGUACAUGAAUAAACCAUAAGGGCCAGAGCAUAAUGGUUCCUGGAAGGAUUUGUUUACGAAACCUUUUUCAUUGCUUCUGGAGGUUUAUUGGUUAAUUUCUCAUUCCGGAGAAAUUUAACUCCAUCACUACCAUGUUGGGGGUUCCCUAAUGCCAGAUGACAUCUCCAGGAAAGCAAAGAGAGGUAUACACCACAAAUGGCAGAGCAUAAAGGAUGGCUGGGAGAUUUGAUAAACUUACUGUUGUAGGAGAACAAUUUCAAGCAUUGAUAUAUAUUAGAAAAUUGUGCUGUCAGUCUUUUG